AUAGAACGCUGGCGGAAUGCUUUACACAUGCAAGUCGAACGGUAGAGGGGGCAACCCCUCGAGAGUGGCGAACGGGUGAGUAAUAUAUCGGAACGUGCCCAGUCGUGGGGGAUAACGUAGCGAAAGUUACGCUAAUACCGCAUACGAUCUAAGGAUGAAAGCGGGGGAUCGCAAGACCUCGCGCGAUUGGAGCGGCCGAUAUCAGAUUAGGUAGUUGGUGGGGUAAAGGCUCACCAAGCCAACGAUCUGUAGCUGGUCUGAGAGGACGACCAGCCACACUGGAACUGAGACACGGUCCAGACUCCUACGGGAGGCAGCAGUGGGGAAUCUUGGACAAUGGACGCAAGUCUGAUCCAGCCAUUCCGCGUGCAGGAUGAAGGCCCUCGGGUUGUAAACUGCUUUUGUACGGAACGAAAAGGUCUCUCUUAAUACGGGGGACUCAUGACGGUACCGUAAGAAUAAGCACCGGCUAACUACGUGCCAGCCGCCGCAGUAAGAC
rnacentral:rRNA from 1 species